rnacentral:rRNA from 1 species
UACGUAGGCAGCAAGCGUUGUUCGGAGUUACUGGGCGUAAAGGGCGCGUAGGCGGCUCGGCACGUCCGUUGUGAAAUCGCCCGGCUCAACUGGGCGGGGUCAGCGGAUACGGUCGAGCUUGAGCAAGCUAGGGGGUAAUGGAAUUCCCGGUGUAGUGGUGGAAUGCGUAGAUAUCGGGAGGAACACCAGUGGCGAAGGCGGCACUCUGGGCCGGUACUGACGCUGAGGAGCGAAAGCGUGGGGAGCGAACAGG